UGAGCCUAUGGAUGCAACAACAAAUGGGGAUGGAGCCCAAGAAUGAGGAUUAAUAUUUUCUGCCCUAUAUAUAUAUAUAUAUAUUUCAGUUUUGGCAGUCUGUUCAUUGUAUCUGGUUAGUUACGAAAUGAUUUUUAAUGGUGUCUUGGACAUUGAUCCCAAUUGAAGUUCCCUGCAUAUUCGAUCUCAUAAAACCCUCUCUAUUUGUGCAUGUUAAACGUUGAAUGACAGUGGAUAGACAAACUUAGGC
rnacentral:misc_RNA from 1 species